UACGUAGGGGGCUAGCGUUGUCCGGAAUCAUUGGGCGUAAAGCGCGUGUAGGCGGUCCGGUAAGUCCGCUGUGAAAGUCGGGGGCUCAACCUCGGAUGCCGGUGGAUACUGUCGGGCUUGAGUACUUAAGAGGAUCGCGGAAUUCCCGGUGUAGAGGUGAAAUGCGUAGAUAUCUGGAGGAACACCUGUGGCGAAGGCGGCUUUCUGGGC
rnacentral:rRNA from 1 species